rnacentral:rRNA from 1 species
AUUGAACGCUGGCGGCAGGCCUAACACAUGCAAGUCGAACGAGUGGCGGACGGGUGAGUAAUGUAUGGGAAACUGCCCGAUGGAGGGGGAUAACUACUGGAAACGGUAGCUAAUACCGCAUACCAUCGGAUGUGCCCAGAUGGGAUUAGCUGGUAGGUGAGGUAAUGGCUCACCUAGGCGACGAUCCCUAGCUGGUCUGAGAGGAUGACCAGCCACACGGGAACUGAUACACGGCCCAGACUCCGACGGGAGGCAGCAGUGGGGAAUAUUGCACAAGGGGCGCAAGCCUGAUGCAGCCAUGCCGCGUGUAUGAAGAAGGCCCUAGGGUUGUAAAGUACUUUCAGUCGGGAGGCGUUACCGACAGAAGAAGCACCGGCUAACUCCGUGCCAGCCGCCGCGGUAAUAC